GCCCCCUUCGUCUAGUGGCCUAGGACACCGGAUUCUCAGUCCGGUAGCAGGGGUUCGACUCCCCUAGGGGGUACCA
rnacentral:tRNA from 1 species